AUGUCUUUAUUUCUGAAGGGAUUGCGGUUUAUUACACCAAAGGCUUUCAGUGAACUAUUGAAGCUAUCGAGAGAGUACCAAAUGCUGACGAAGUCAGUCCGUGAAGGGAUAACUUGCUGCUUACUUGCUAUAUCCCCGCGUUCUUGCACGGCUCAUUCUUCGAGCCCUGCUUCUCCCUUCCCCCUCUCCCCGUUCGUUCUACCGUCCAAAAGCCGUAUGGAGUAUAGCCAAGUGGUAAGGCAUCGGU